CCCUACGGGGCGCACCAGGCCCAAAAACCUCUGCAAUAACCAAAAGCUUGACAGGGUUAUUCUGAGUGAUUUCCGCUAAGGAAAUCUUUUGGCACCUCUAAAAAGGGUACAGAAUAAGGGGUGGGCAAGCCUGGUGUCACCCGCCGCGGUAA
rnacentral:rRNA from 1 species